rnacentral:rRNA from 1 species
GUGAACGCUGGCGGUAGGCCUAACACAUGCAAGUCGAACGGCAGCACAGUAUGAGCUUGCUCUUACGGGUGGCGAGUGGCGGACGGGUGAGGAAUACAUCGGAAUCUACUUUUUCGUGGGGGAUAACGUAGGGAAACUUACGCUAAUACCGCAUACGACCUACGGGUGAAAGCAGGGGAUCUUCGGACCUUGCGCGAUUGAAUGAGCCGAUGUCGGAUUAGCUAGUUGGCGGGGUAAAGGCCCACCAAGGCGACGAUCCGUAGCUGGUCUGAGAGGAUGAUCAGCCACACUGGAACUGAGACACGGUCCAGACUCCUACGGGAGGCAGCAGUGGGGAAUAUUGGACAAUGGGCGCAAGCCUGAUCCAGCCAUACCGCGUGGGUGAAGAAGGCCUUCGGGUUGUAAAGCCCUUUUGUUGGGAAAGAAAAGCAGCAGGUUAAUACCCCGCUGUUCUGACGGUACCCAAAGAAUAAGCACCGGCUAACUUCGUG